CUCACUCAGCCACUAUGUGAGAAGAACACGCACACAGGCCUAUCAGUUCACUGACAGUCAGUUCAAUACCCACACACUGCAACAUGAUACAGGAGCUGUCUCGCACUUCAGCUACUGAUGCAUUCAAAACCUGAGCCCUAGGACCAUACGUCACGGGAAACCGGGCAUGAUGACUCCUUGCUGUUCCCAGUCCACCUGGCCUUGCUGCUGUUCCAGUUUCAACUGCUCUGCCUGCGGUUAUGGAACCCCUACCUGUCCCAGACCUGCUGUUUUCAACUCUUAAUGAUCGGCUAUGAAAAGCCAACUGACAUUUAUUCCUGAUUAUUAUCUGACCAUGCUUGUCAUUUAUGAACAUUUUGAAAAUCUUGGCUCUCUCUAAUUUUCUCCUUCUCUCUUUCUUUCUCUCUCUCGGAGGACCUGAGCCCUAGAACCAUACGUCAGGGCUGCCGGGCAUGAUGGCUCCUUGCUGUCCCCAGUCCACCUGGCCUUGCUGCUAUUCCAGUUUCAACUGUUCUGCCUGCGGUUAUGGAACCGCCACCUGUCCCAGACCUGCUGUUUUCAACUCUUAAUGAUCGGCUAUGAAAAGCCAACUGAAAAUUAUUCAUGAUUAUUAUUUGACCAUGCUUGUCACUUCUGAACAUUUUGAACAUCUUGGCAUAGUUCUGUUAUAAUCUCCACCCGGCACAGCCAGAAGAGGACUGGCCACCCCUCAUAGCCUGGUUCCUCUCUAGGUUUCUUCCUAGGUUUUGGCCUUUCUAGGGAGUUUUUCCUAGCCACCGUGCUUCUACACCUGCAGUGCUUGCUGUUUGGGGUUUUAGGCUGGGUUUCUGUACAGCACUUCGAGAUAUUAGCUGAUGUACGAAGGGCUAUAUAAAAUAAACUUGAUUGAUUGAUGGUUCA